GACGAACGCUGGCGGCGUGCUUAACACAUGCAAGUCGAACGGAAAGGCCCUGCUUUUGUGGGGUGCUCGAGUGGCGAACGGGUGAGUAACACGUGAGUAACCUGCCCUUGACUUUGGGAUAACUUCAGGAAACUGGGGCUAAUACCGGAUAGGAGCUCCUGCUGCAUGGUGGGGGUUGGAAAGUUUCGGCGGUUGGAGAUGGACUCGCGGCUUAUCAGCUUGUUGGUGGGGUAGUGGCUUACCAAGGCUUUGACGGGUAGCCGGCCUGAGAGGGUGACCGGCCACAUUGGGACUAAGAUACGGCCCAGACUCCUACGGGAGGCAGCAGUGGGGAAUAUUGCACAAUGGGCGGAAGCCUGAUGCAGCAACGCCGCGUGCGGGAUGACGGCCUUCGGGUUGUAAACCGCUUUCGCCUGUGACGAAGCGUGAGUGACGGUAAUGGGUAAAGAAGCACCGGCUAACUACGUG
rnacentral:rRNA from 1 species